rnacentral:rRNA from 1 species
GCUAAUUUGAGACCGGCGCACGGGUGCGUAACGCGUAUGCAAUCUACCUUGUACAGGGGGAUAGCCCAGAGAAAUUUGGAUUAAUACCCCAUGGUAUAAUUAAUUUGCAUGAAUUGAUUAUUAAAGUUCCAACGGUACAAGAUGAGCAUGCGUCCCAUUAGCUAGUUGGUGUGGUAACGGCAUACCAAGGCGACGAUGGGUAGGGGUCCUGAGAGGGAGAUCCCCCACACUGGUACUGAGACACGGACCAGACUCCUACGGGAGGCAGCAGUGAGGAAUAUUGGUCAAUGGUCGGAAGACUGAACCAGCCAUGCCGCGUGCAGGAAGAGGCAUCUAUGGUGUGUAAACUGCUUUUGUACGGGAAGAAACACUCCUACGUGUAGGAGCUUGACGGUACCGUAAGAAUAAGGAUCGGCUAACUCCGUGCCAGCAGCCGCGGUAAUACGGAGGAUCCAAGCGUUAUCCGGAAUCAUUGGGUUUAAAGGGUCCGUAGGCGGUUAGAUAAGUCAGUGGUGAAAUCCGGCAGCUUAACUGUCGAACUGCCAUUGAUACUGUUUAACUUGAAUUACUGUGAAGUAACUAGAAUAUGUAGUGUAGCGGUGAAAUGCUUAGAUAUUACAUGGAAUACCAAUUGCGAAGGCAGGUUACUAAUGGUUUAUUGACGCUGAUGGACGAAAGCGUGGGGAGCGAACAGGAUUAGAUACCCUGGUAGUCCACGCUGUAAACGAUGGAUACUAGCUGUUGGGAGUAAUUUCAGUGGCUAAGCGAAAGUGAUAAGUAUCCCACC